rnacentral:lncRNA from 1 species
AACAUAACAUGUUGGUCCUACUUCAAGAUGCUAGAAAGCUUGACUUUUUGGGUAAGUUUGAUGGGCUUUGGCUAGGUCCCUAUCUAGUCAAGAAAGUCUUUCUGAAUAAUUAUGUCUAAUUACAAACCUUAAAUGGAGAGGACUUUCUAACUCAUACUUCUAAGAACAGAAGCAAGGAGUACAAAACUUAAAAAUUAGAAUUUUACUAUUGUCUUGUAUUUACUAACCAAUUUCUAAACUUAAAUGUUGGAAUUUCUCCAUGUAGACAUUCACCAUGAUCGUAAAGAAUUUAGAAGUUUUGACAUUUAAAGUUGACCAACAACCUACUACUAUCAAAUAGUUUAAAAUAGUUUCUAAUAACAUCGACUUGUACAUACAAAAAGCCAAUUGAGUCUGAGAAUGAAUCCAAAUCCUAUGACUUUACAGAUUGGUACUAUCUUAUUGUAGAUUC